UCCUACGGGAGGCAGCAGUGGGGAAUAUUGCACAAUGGGGGAAACCCUGAUGCAGCGACGCCGCGUGAGUGAUGAAGUAUUUCGGUAUGUAAAGCUCUAUCAGCAGGGAAGAUAAUGACGGUACCUGACUAAGAAGCUCCGGCUAAAUACGUGCCAGCAGCCGCGGUAAUACGUAUGGAGCAAGCGUUAUCCGGAUUUACUGGGUGUAAAGGGAGCGUAGACGGCCAUGCAAGUCUGAUGUGAAAACCCGGGGCUCAACCCCGGGACUGCAUUGGAAACUGUGCGGCUGGAGUGUCGGAGAGGCA
rnacentral:rRNA from 1 species